ensembl:lncRNA
GCAAAUAAUGACUUUUCUGGUUCUUCCUUUCCCUGUCACCACAGAUUUUGAUUUGUGUCAUCAAAAUAGUCAAGGAGGGAAGAAAAUGACCUGGACAGAUUGUACAUGAAAAAAAAGUGAAUAAAAUUCAGCAUAUAAACAUUGACCUCUAGUUUAGUAAUGUCUGAUUCCAUCAUACCAAAUUUAGUGUCUAGAUGUCAAGUUUUCUCCUUACCAGAGGAAGAAUCUAGUCCUACAGAGAUCUUCCACUAAGAUGAUGAAAUUAGCACUCUCCUGGGGACAAAAUCAGAACAUUAAAUAAGCAUGGGGAUUUCUGUGCACAGAAAAUUAGGCAAUAACAAUAUUCAUGUGCAAAAAAUAUAUAUUCUUUUUAUUCUGUUUACUUCUCUCUCUGACUGCUUUCAAUUAAUGUUUCAUGCGUACAGCCAACUUGUUUGCUGGAGUUGCUGUGAAUCAUGAACAAAUCACAUAAACAUUUUAAAAGAAACCCAACCACUGCCCUGCAAUGUGGCAACAGUAAUGGUUUGGAUGUGAAAAUUGGCUAGACUUUCCAAAAGGAAAAUCCUGUAUAUGAAGACUUGUUUAGGG